GGAGAGGUGGCCGAGUGGCUGAUGGCGCACGCUUGGAAAGCGUGUUUAGGUUAAUCCCUAACGAGAGUUCGAAUCUCUCUCUCUCCGCCA
rnacentral:tRNA from 2 species